rnacentral:rRNA from 1 species
AACGAACGCUGGCGGCGUGGAUUGGGCAUGCAAGUCGAACGAGAAAGGUUCUUUCGGGGACCGAGUAAAGUGGCAAACGGGUGAGUAACGCGUGGGAAACCUACCCUUCAGUUAGGGAUAACACUUCUAACGAGGUGCUAAUACCGAAACGAUCUUUCCAUCACAUGAUGGAUUGAUGAAAGGCGGCCUCUGUUUUAAGCUGUCGCUGAAAGAUGGUCCCGCGUCCCAUUAGCUUGUUGGUGAGGUAACGGCUCACCAAGGUGACGAUGGGUAGCCGGCCUUAGCGGGUGACCGGCCACACUGGGAUUGAGAUACGGCCCAGACUCCUACGGGAGGCAGCAGUCGAGAGGCAUCCACAAUGGGGGAAACCCUGAUGGUGCGACGCCGCGUGGGUGAUGAAGGUUUUCGGAUCGUAAAACCCUUUCAGCAAGGACGAAUUUAUGGGGUUAAUACCAUCUAAUAAUUGACGGUACUUGCAAAAGAAGCUCCGGCUAACUCCGUGCCAGCAGCCGCGGUAAGACGGGGGGAGCAAGCGUUGUUCGGAUUUACUGGGCGUAAAGGGCGUCUAGGCGGAUUAGCAAGUCAGAUGUGAAAUCCCACGACUCAAUCGUGGAACUGCAUUUGAAACUGCUGGUCUUGAGUACGGAAGAGGAAAGCGGAAUUCCUGGUGUAGCGGUGAAAUGCGUAGAUAUCAGGAAGAACACCGGUGGCGAAGGCGGCUUUCUGGUCCGAUACUGACGCUAAAGCGCGAAAGUGUGGGGAGCAAACAGGAUUAGAUACCCUGGUAGUCCACACUGUAAACGAUGGAUACUAGGUGUCGGAGAUCCGACCUCUCCGGUGCCGAAGCUAACGCAUUAAGUAUCCCGCCUGGGGAGACGGUCGCAAGGUU